rnacentral:lncRNA from 1 species
AGCAGCCCACAGCAGCCGAGUUCGCGCCGCCGGUAGGUGCUGCCAUGCCAGGGGGCGGGAUCGUGGAGCGCCUCGCAGAACCGCACGAAAGCAAAAACAAAGCCAUCUCUCCGGAGCAGAAAUAGAACAGACGUGGCCGGGGAAAGCCAAAUAUUUGUGGCUGGACUCAGACACAUCACGCUCCAGUUUGGGUUCCAAGGUGCUUCUCUCUGGAUUUUCACCUGCCUUGCCAAAAAUGAUUGAUUACGCUGGGCCAACUGGGUGUCCGGCAAUACCCAACAAAUGACUUUGGCCCCUAACAGCAGGUCUUGGCCAGACAGAAAUCAAUAUUUCACCAUUAAAAUCUAUCAAAGAAGAGUUAAGGCACCAUCUGUCCCUGCCGCCUCUCUAUGGUGUGUGAACAUUAAAUCCGACACUUGUACUACAUGGGUAAUCAAUAUAUAGUGGUUCACAGAUCA